rnacentral:lncRNA from 1 species
AUAAUCAAUCAUUGUUUUCCCAGAAAAGGGGGGCAUAAAUCCACCUCUGUUCUGAACAUUGCUUGUCCAACUUUGUAUUAGACUCCCUUCAAUUUAUUUUGGUCAACAAUUAUUAAUUGCUCAAUUUUCAAUGGUAAUAUAAAUAAGAAGAUGGGGUAUGAUUGCCAAUGAGACAACUGUCCACAAGAGACCAAAAUGUCACAG